rnacentral:misc_RNA from 1 species
UUCGAGCGUCAUUGCAACCCUCAAGCGCUGCUUGGUAUUGGAUGUUAUCAUUGUGGUGCAUCUUAAAGCUAUUAACAGUGGCAUUUAGCUUCUAGUGUAGUAAAUUUCUCGCUUUGGAGUUAGACUGCCUAACUGUUAGAACCCUUAAUUUUUUCACAAAGGUUGACCUCGGAUCAGGUAGGGAUACCCGCUGAACUUAA